GGCAGACGGGUGAGUAACGCGUAAGUAACCUAUCCUUGAGUGGGGAAUAACCCCGAGAAAUUGGGGCUAAUACCGCAUGACGCGCUGAGGUUAUUAUCUUGGCGUCAAAGCCGCAAGGCGCUUGAGGUUGGGCUUGCGUCCUAUCAGGUAGUUGGUAGGGUAAUGGCCUACCAAGCCAAUGACGGGUAGCUGGUCUGAGAGGAUAUCCAGCCACACUGGGACUGAGAUACGGCCCAGACUCCUACGGGAGGCAGCAGCAAGGAAUUUUGCGCAAUGGGCGAAAGCCUGACGCAGCAACGCCGCGUGGGUGAAGAAGGCCUUCGGGUCGUAAAGCCCUUUUGUUAGGGAAGAAGUUCUGACGGUACCUAACGAAUAAGCCUCGGCUAACUACGUGCCAGCAGCCGCGGUAAUACGUAGGAGGCGAGCGUUAUCCGGAUUUAUUGGGCGUAAAGAGCGCGUAGGCGGCCUAUUAAGUCGGUUGUGAAAUCUCUCGGCUUAACUGGGAGGGGUCAACCGAAACUGGUAGGCUUGAGGACAGCAGAGGGAAGUGGAAUUCC
rnacentral:rRNA from 1 species